rnacentral:rRNA from 1 species
UGCCUCAGUAACGGCGAGUGAAGCGGCAAGAGCUCAAAUUUGAAAGCUGGCCCCUUCGGGGUCCGCGUUGUAAUUUGCAGAGGAUGCUUCGGGUGCGGCCCCUGUCUAAGUGCCCUGGAACGGGCCGUCAGAGAGGGUGAGAAUCCCGUCUUGGGCAGGGUGCCCGUGCCCGUGUGAAGCUCCUUCGACGAGUCGAGUUGUUUGGGAAUGCAGCUCUAAAUGGGUGGUAAAUUUCAUCUAAAGCUAAAUACCGGCCGGAGACCGAUAGCGCACAAGUAGAGUGAUCGAAAGAUGAAAAGCACUUUGAAAAGAGAGUUAAACAGCACGUGAAAUUGUUGAAAGGGAAGCGCUUGCGACCAGACUCGGCCCCGGGGUUCAGCCAGCACUCGUGCUGGUGUACUUCCCCGGGGGCGGGCCAGCGUCGGUUUGGGCGGCCGGUCAAAGGCCCCAGGAAUGUAUCGCCCUCCGGGGUUGUCUUAUAGCCUGGGGUGCAAUGCGGCCAGCCCGGACCGAGGAACGCGCUUCGGCACGGACGCUGGCGUAAUGGUCGCAAACGACCCGUCUUGAAACACGGACCAAGGAGUCUAACAUCUACGCGAGUGUUCGGGUGUCAAACCCGUACGCGCAGUGAAAGCGAACGGAGGUGGGAGCCCCCCCGGGGCGCACCAUCGACCGAUCCUGAUGUCUUCGGAUGGAUUUGAGUAAGAGCGUAGCUGUGGGGACCCGAAAGAUGGUGAACUAUGCCUGAAUAGGGCGAAGCCAGAGGAAACUCUGGUGGAGGCUCGCAGCGGUUCUGACGUGCAAAUCGAUCGUCAAAUUUGGGUAUAGGGGCGAAAGACUAAUCGAACCAUCUGGUAGCUGGUUCCUGCCGAAGUUUCCCUCAGGAUAGCAGUAACGCGGAUCAGUUUUAUGAGGUAAAGCGAAUGAUUAGAGGCAUUGGGGUUGAAACAACC